UACGUAGGGGGCAAGCGUUGUCCGGAUUUAUUGGCGUAAAGGAGCUCGUAGGUGGUUCGGUAAGUCGGAUGUGAAAUCUCCAGGCUCAACCUGGAGGGUCAUUCGAUACUGCCGUGACUAGAGUUCGGUAGGGAGUGUGGAAUUCCUGGAUGGAGCGGUGAAAUGCGCAGAUAUCAGGAGGAACACCCGUAGCGAAGGCGGCAUCUCUGGGCCGAUACUGACACUGAGGAGCGAAAGCGUGGGGAGCGAACAGG
rnacentral:rRNA from 1 species